GACCUUAAUCUAAAGUGUUCCAGACAUGCAACCAUUUAAGGUGGUUGACCUGGAGCUAGUUUCAGCCUUCUGUCUGCUUUGUUACAAGAAGGCAUUUCCUCUCAAAGAAUUGCUUCUGCUACUGUUGCGGUUACUCUCCUUCUGUUGCUCCUUGGAAUGUAUUGUGAAAUGCCAGACAAGAUGACUCAGGGAGAACAGGGGGAAAAAUUUUGCAAGUCUUGGUCCCACAUAGUGUAUGUAAUAGACUACUAUUAAGGAGAGUUUAUUUUGCCAAAGUCAUUGGAAUAAUAUGCUGAUAAUAUUUUCCACUAUCAAAUGCAAUACCACGAGGACACGCCAAUGAUGAAUAUGAGCAG
rnacentral:lncRNA from 1 species